GCUGUUGUGGCUCAGCUGGUAGAGCAGCGCACUCGUAAUGCGCAGGUCGCCGGUUCGAAUCCGGCCAACAGCUCCA
rnacentral:tRNA from 1 species